AGCUAACGUUGGCGGCGUGCCUAACACAUGCAAGUCGAACGCGUUUCGGGGGGCGAACUCCCGACGAUGAGUGGCGAACGGGUGAGUAACACGUGGGUAAUCUUCCCCCGACGUGAGGAAUAAGCCCGCGAAAGCGGGUCUAAUACCGCAUGACACUCCGGGACAUAAGUUUUCGGUAGUCAAAGCUUUCGGGCGCUUGGGGAUGAGCCUGCGGCCUAUUAGCUAGUUGGUAGGGUAACGGCCUACCAAGGCGAAGAUGGGUAGCCGGCCUGAGAGGGUGUACGGCCACACUGGGGACUGAGACACGGCCCAGACUCCUACGGGAGGCAG
rnacentral:rRNA from 1 species